GGUUAAGCGACUAAGCGUACACGGUGGAUGCCCUGGCAGUCAGAGGCGAUGAAGGACGUGCUAAUCUGCGAUAAGCGUCGGUAAGGUGAUAUGAACCGUUAUAACCGGCGAUUUCCGAAUGGGGAAACCCAGUGUGAUUCGUCACACUAUCAUUAACUGAAUCCAUAGGUUAAUGAGGCGAACCGGGGGAACUGAAACAUCUAAGUACCCCGAGGAAAAGAAAUCAACCGAGAUUCCCCCAGUAGCGGCGAGCGAACGGGGAGCAGCCCAGAGCCUGAAUCAGUGUGUGUGUUAGUGGAAGCGUCUGGAAAGGCGCGCGAUACAGGGUGACAGCCCCGUACACAAAAAUGCACAUGCUGUGAGCUCGAUGAGUAGGGCGGGACACGUGGUAUCCUGUCUGAAUAUGGGGGGACCAUCCUCCAAGGCUAAAUACUCCUGACUGACCGAUAGUGAACCAGUACCGUGAGGGAAAGGCGAAAAGAACCCCGGCGAGGGGAGUGAAAAAGAACCUGAAACCGUGUACGUACAAGCAGUGGGAGCACAGAGCAAUCUGUGUGACUGCGUACCUUUUGUAUAAUGGGUCAGCGACUUAUAUUCUGUAGCAAGGUUAACCGAAUAGGGGAGCCGAAGGGAAACCGAGUCUUAACUGGGCGUUAAGUUGCAGGGUAUAGACCCGAAACCCGGUGAUCUAGCCAUGGGCAGGUUGAAGGUUGGGUAACACUAACUGGAGGACCGAACCGACUAAUGUUGAAAAAUUAGCGGAUGACUUGUGGCUGGGGGUGAAAGGCCAAUCAAACCGGGAGAUAGCUGGUUCUCCCCGAAAGCUAUUUAGGUAGCGCCUCGUGAAUUCAUCUCCGGGGGUAGAGCACUGUUUCGGCAAGGGGGUCAUCCCGACUUACCAACCCGAUGCAAACUGCGAAUACCGGAGAAUGUUAUCACGGGAGACACACGGCGGGUGCUAACGUCCGUCGUGAAGAGGGAAACAACCCAGACCGCCAGCUAAGGUCCCAAAGUCAUGGUUAAGUGGGAAACGAUGUGGGAAGGCCCAGACAGCCAGGAUGUUGGCUUAGAAGCAGCCAUCAUUUAAAGAAAGCGUAAUAGCUCACUGGUCGAGUCGGCCUGCGCGGAAGAUGUAACGGGGCUAAACCAUGCACCGAAGCUGCGGCAGCGACGCUGAUGCGUUGUUGGGUAGGGGAGCGUUCUGUAAGCCUGCGAAGGUGUGCUGUGAGGCAUGCUGGAGGUAUCAGAAGUGCGAAUGCUGACAUAAGUAACGAUAAAGCGGGUGAAAAGCCCGCUCGCCGGAAGACCAAGGGUUCCUGUCCAACGUUAAUCGGGGCAGGGUGAGUCGACCCCUAAGGCGAGGCCGAAAGGCGUAGUCGAUGGGAAACAGGUUAAUAUUCCUGUACUUGGUGUUACUGCGAAGGGGGGACGGAGAAGGCUAUGUUGGCCGGGCGACGGUUGUCCCGGUUUAAGCGUGUAGGCUGGUUUUCCAGGCAAAUCCGGAAAAUCAAGGCUGAGGCGUGAUGACGAGGCACUACGGUGCUGAAGCAACAAAUGCCCUGCUUCCAGGAAAAGCCUCUAAGCAUCAGGUAACAUCAAAUCGUACCCCAAACCGACACAGGUGGUCAGGUAGAGAAUACCAAGGCGCUUGAGAGAACUCGGGUGAAGGAACUAGGCAAAAUGGUGCCGUAACUUCGGGAGAAGGCACGCUGAUAUGUAGGUGAAGCGACUUGCUCGUGGAGCUGAAAUCAGUCGAAGAUACCAGCUGGCUGCAACUGUUUAUUAAAAACACAGCACUGUGCAAACACGAAAGUGGACGUAUACGGUGUGACGCCUGCCCGGUGCCGGAAGGUUAAUUGAUGGGGUCAGCGCAAGCGAAGCUCUUGAUCGAAGCCCCGGUAAACGGCGGCCGUAACUAUAACGGUCCUAAGGUAGCGAAAUUCCUUGUCGGGUAAGUUCCGACCUGCACGAAUGGCGUAAUGAUGGCCAGGCUGUCUCCACCCGAGACUCAGUGAAAUUGAACUCGCUGUGAAGAUGCAGUGUACCCGCGGCAAGACGGAAAGACCCCGUGAACCUUUACUAUAGCUUGACACUGAACAUUGAGCCUUGAUGUGUAGGAUAGGUGGGAGGCUUUGAAGUGUGGACGCCAGUCUGCAUGGAGCCGACCUUGAAAUACCACCCUUUAAUGUUUGAUGUUCUAACGUUGACCCGUAAUCCGGGUUGCGGACAGUGUCUGGUGGGUAGUUUGACUGGGGCGGUCUCCUCCUAAAGAGUAACGGAGGAGCACGAAGGUUGGCUAAUCCUGGUCGGACAUCAGGAGGUUAGUGCAAUGGCAUAAGCCAGCUUGACUGCGAGCGUGACGGCGCGAGCAGGUGCGAAAGCAGGUCAUAGUGAUCCGGUGGUUCUGAAUGGAAGGGCCAUCGCUCAACGGAUAAAAGGUACUCCGGGGAUAACAGGCUGAUACCGCCCAAGAGUUCAUAUCGACGGCGGUGUUUGGCACCUCGAUGUCGGCUCAUCACAUCCUGGGGCUGAAGUAGGUCCCAAGGGUAUGGCUGUUCGCCAUUUAAAGUGGUACGCGAGCUGGGUUUAGAACGUCGUGAGACAGUUCGGUCCCUAUCUGCCGUGGGCGCUGGAGAACUGAGGGGGGCUGCUCCUAGUACGAGAGGACCGGAGUGGACGCAUCACUGGUGUUCGGGUUGUCAUGCCAAUGGCACUGCCCGGUAGCUAAAUGCGGAAGAGAUAAGUGCUGAAAGCAUCUAAGCACGAAACUUGCCCCGAGAUGAGUUCUCCCUGACUCCUUGAGAGUCCUGAAGGAACGUUGAAGACGACGACGUUGAUAGGCCGGGUGUGUAAGCGCAGCGAUGCGUUGAGCUAACCGGUACUAAUGAACCGUGAGGCUUAACCUU
rnacentral:rRNA from 2 species